rnacentral:rRNA from 1 species
AGAGUUUGAUCAUGGCUCAGGAUGAACGCUGGCGGUAUGCCUAACACAUGCAAGUCGUACGGGAGUUUUUAACUCUAGUGGCGGACGGGUGAGUAACACGUGAGAAUUUGCCUUUAGGAGGGGGACAACAGUUGGAAACGGUUGCUAAUACCCCAUAUGCUUUCGAGUGAAAUGGAUUUUUCCGCCUAGAGAGAAGCUUGCGGCUGAUUAGCUUGUUGGUAAGGUAAUGGCUUACCAAGGCGACGAUCAGUAUCUGGCUUGAGAGGACGAUCAGACACACUGGAACUGAGACACGGUCCAGACUCCUACGGGAGGCAGCAGUGGGGAAUUUUCCGCAAUGGGCGAAAGCCUGACGGAGCAAUACCGCGUGAGGGAUGACGGCCUAUGGGUUGUAAACCUCUUUUUUCAGGGAGGAAACAAAUGACGUUACCUGAAGAAUAAGCAUCGGCUAACUCCGUGCCAGCAGCCGCGGUAAGACGGAGGAUGCAAGUGUUAUCCGGAAUCACUGGGCGUAAAGCGUCUGUAGGUGGUUUAAUAAGUCAACUGUUAAAUCUUGAGGCUCAACCUCGAAACCGCAGUCGAAACUAUUAGACUAGAGUAUAGUAGGGGUAAAGGGAAUUUCCAGUGGAGCGGUGAAAUGCGUAGAGAUUGGAAAGAACACCGAUGGCGAAGGC